rnacentral:rRNA from 1 species
GAUGAACGCUAGCUACAGGCUUAACACAUGCAAGUCGAGGGGAAACGGCAUUUAGUGCUUGCACCGAAUGGACGUCGACCGGCGCACGGGUGAGUAACGCGUAUCCAACCUACCCAUUACUGUGGGAUAACCUGCCGAAAGGCAGACUAAUACCGCAUAGUCUUCGAUGACGGCAUCAGAUUUGAAGUAAAGAUUUAUCGGUAAUGGAUGGGGAUGCGUCUGAUUAGCUUGUUGGCGGGGUAACGGCCCACCAAGGCAACGAUCAGUAGGGGUUCUGAGAGGAAGGUCCCCCACAUUGGAACUGAGACACGGUCCAAACUCCUACGGGAGGCAGCAGUGAGGAAUAUUGGUCAAUGGGCGAGAGCCUGAACCAGCCAAGUAGCGUGCAGGAUGACGGCCCUAUGGGUUGUAAACUGCUUUUGUAUGGGGAUAAAGUCAAUCACGUGUGAUUGUUUGCAGGUACCAUACGAAUAAGGACCGGCUAAUUCCGUGCCAGCAGCCGCGGUAAUACGGAAGGUCCGGGCGUUAUCCGGAUUUAUUGGGUUUAAAGGGAGCGUAGGCCGGAGAUUAAGUGUGUUGUGAAAUGUAGACGCUCAACGUCUGACUUGCAGCGCAUACUGGUUUCCUUGAGUACGCACAACGUUGGCGGAAUUCGUCGUGUAGCGGUGAAAUGCUUAGAUAUGACGAAGAACUCCGAUUGCGAAGGCAGCUGACGGGAGCGCAACUGACGCUUAAGCUCGAAGGUGCGGGUAUCGAACAGG